GAUAAACGCUGGCGGCGUGCAUGAGACAUGCAAGUCGAACGGACGAUCGAGGCUUGCUUCGAUCGUUAGUGGCGGACGGCUGAGUAACGCGUAGGUGACCUGCCCCGAAGUGGGGAAUAACUGCCCGAAAGGGUGGCUAAUACCGCAUGUGGUGGUGUGUUCAAUCACACCAGUAAAGCCGCAAGGCGCUUCGGGAGGGGCCUGCGUCCGAUUAGCUCGUUGGUGGGGAACGGCUCACCAAGGCGACGAUCGGUAGGUGGUCUGAGAGGACGAUCACCCAGACUGGGACUGAGACACGGCCCAGACUCCUACGGGAGGCAGCAGUC
rnacentral:rRNA from 1 species